UACUAGGUAGCAUAGUGGACAUGGCAUCUGCCCGGUAAGCGUAACACUGUGGGUUCGAUUCCCAUCCCUGGACACUUUAU
rnacentral:tRNA from 1 species